UACGAAGGGGGCAAGCGUUGUUCGGAAUUACUGGGCGUAAAGGGCGCGUAGGCGGUGCACUAAGUCAGGCGUGAAAGCCCUGGGCUCAACCCGGGAAUUGCGCUUGAUACUGGCGCGCUUGAAUCCAGGAGAGGUUGGUGGAAUUCCCAGUGUAGAGGUGAAAUUCGUAGAGAUUGGGAAGAACACCGGUGGCGAAGGCGGCCAACUGGACUGGUAUUGACGCUGAGGCGCGAAAGCGUGGGGAGCAAACAGG
rnacentral:rRNA from 1 species